rnacentral:rRNA from 1 species
UACGGAGGGGGCUAGCGUUGUUCGGAAUUACUGGGCGUAAAGCGCGCGUAGGCGGACCUGCAAGUCGGGGGUGAAAGCCCGAGGCUCAACCUCGGAACUGCCUUCGAUACUGCGGGUCUCGAGUCCGGGAGAGGUGAGUGGAAUUCCUAGUGUAGAGGUGAAAUUCGUAGAUAUUAGGAAGAACACCAGUGGCGAAGGCGACACACUGGCCCGUUACUGACGCUGAGGCGCGAAAGCGUGGGGAGCAAACAGG